rnacentral:piRNA from 1 species
UAAAUAUGACCGAAAAAAAAA